rnacentral:rRNA from 1 species
UGGGGGAUAUUGCACAAUGGGCGAAAGCCUGAUGCAGCGACGCCGCGUGGGGGAUGAAGGCCUUCGGGUUGUAAACUUCUUUUGCUCUGAACAAGGCGCACCAUGGGGUGUGUUGAGUGUAGGGGUUGAUUAGCGCCGGCUAACUACCUGCCAGCAGCCGCGGUAAUACGUAGGGCGCGAGCGUUGUCCGGAAUUAUUGGGCGUAAAGGGCUUGUAGGUGGCUGGUUGCGUCUGUCGUGAAAGCUCAUGGCUUAACUGUGGGUUUGCGGUGGGUACGGGCUGGCUUGAGUGCAGUAGGGGAGGCUGGAAUUCCUGGUGUAGCGGUGGAAUGCGCAGAUAUCAGGAGGAAUACCGGUGGCGAAGGCGGGUCUCUGGGCUGUUACUGACACUGAGGAGCGAAAGCAUGGGGAGCGAACAGG